CUCUUGCCACUAGGCCAUAUCCCCAGCCCCCAGGACACAUUUUUAAAGUCCUAAAAUUGUGACCCUGAGAAAACUUUCAGAAUGGUUAUCUGAGUAUAUACAUACAUAAAUUUUCACCAAGUUGUACACUAAUAACAGGUCUCAUCUAACUCAUAAAAGAAAAGAGGAUCUCAGCCUCUCUAUUCCUAUACUCAGAGUAUAAAGAUAGAACCCAGAAGAAGGGAAAGAAUAUUGUAUGUACAAUGUUCACUACAUUAUUUAUAUUAAAAC